rnacentral:lncRNA from 1 species
UUUUGGACUCAAUCCUAUAUCGAUUGGUCCUUCAAAUCGGACAAUUCAGGUUCGUACGAAGUUCGUUCUGAAAUGUAGUGGUUGGUGCAUUGUAUAGUUCUAGAGAUUGGAUUUCACUCAAAACCCUCCAAAUGACUCCUCCCACAAUAUUAUGACGUUCCCCAAGUUUUGGACUCAAUCCGAUAUCGAUUGGUCCUUGAAAUCGGACAAUUCAGGUUCGUACGAAGUUCGUUCUGAAAUGUUGUGGUUGGUGUAUUGUAUAGUUCUAGGGAUUGUAUUUCACUCAAAACUUACCAAAUGACUCCUCCCACAAUAUUAUGAUGUUCCCCAAGUUUUGGACUCAAUCCGAUAUCGAUUGGUCCUUGAAAUCGGACAAUUCAAGUUCGUUCGAAGUUUGUUCUGAAAUGGGGUGGUUGGUGUAUUGUAUAGUUCUAGAGAUUGGAUUUCACUCAAACCCACCGAAUGACUCCUCCCACAAUAUUAUGAUGUUCCCCAAGUUUUGGA